rnacentral:tRNA from 4 species
GGGGAAGUGGCGCAAUUGGUAGCGCACCGCUUUUGCAAGGCGGGGGUUGCGGGUUCGAGUCCCGUCUUCUCCA